GGGAGGGUUAGACGUGGGAACGUGCCCUUCAGUUCGGGAUAACCCAGGGAAACUUGGGCUAAUACCGGAUACGUGCGAGAGCAGAAAGAUUUAUCGCUGAAGGAUCGGCCCGCGUCUGAUUAGCUAGUUGGUGGGGUAAUGGCCCACCAAGGCGACGAUCAGUAGCUGGUCUGAGAGGAUGAUCAGCCACAUUGGGACUGAGACACGGCCAAACUCCUACGGGAGGCAGCAGUGGGGAAUAUUGGACAAUGGGCGCAAGCCUGAUCCAGCCAUGCCGCGUGAGUGAUGAAGGCCUUAGGGUUGUAAAGCUCUUUCGUCCGGGACGAUAAUGACGGUACCGGAAGAAGAAGCCCCGGCUAACUUCGUGCCAGCCGCCGCGG
rnacentral:rRNA from 1 species